rnacentral:misc_RNA from 1 species
CGCACCUUGCGCUCUUUGGUAUUCCGAAGAGCAUGCCUGUUUGAGUGUCAUUAAAUUCUCAACUCCUCAGUGGUUGUCAUGACUGCUGUUGAGCUUGGAUGUGAGGGUUUGCUGGCGCAAGUCAGCUCCCUUGAAAAACAUUAGCGCAGCUUCUGCAAAUCGCUUGGUGUGAUAAUUUAUCUGCUUUGUGACGCGCAUGAAUAAAGCUUUGUGCUUCCAACCGUCUUCUCGGAGACAAUAUUUUUUGAACUUGACCUCAAAUCAGGUAGGACUACCCGCUGAACUUAA